UCGACACUUGGCAUCUCUCGCAGCAAAAGGUAAAGCCUCGUUCGCGCUAUGCUGAGGAACACCGGUCUCAUCAUGUCAUCAUCGAGAUCUGGAUAGUUUGCAGAUAUGACACCCAACUCGGUCACCACUCAGCCAGCACGUGACCUAAUCUCAGUGUGGGUCGUAGGGUUUGAGUCUUGAGUAUCUACGGUCGAGUGCUGGCGCUUGGUCUUUUUUUCUUCCUCUCGCGCAGCGCUAUACCGCUCCGCCUCCUCAACGCGCAACUUUGACGCUGUGCAUAAAUACUGGAACAAAAGAACUUCCUCGAUACCUUGUGAAACGUUACUAGUAAAUAAGGUGAAACUGUUGUGCGAACUGAAAUUAACCCGAUAACGUGCUAGGCUAUAUACUUUUUUAACAUCCCACUAGAGUCAAGUGAUGUCUUCAUACACAUGCUCAUUUUCCCCAGGAUGGAGUCCUGGAAUACCUCAAGCCCUGCUGAGAGAGAGAGAGGGAGGAGAGGAGUCACUCGCUCUGAUUCUGGCAGUGCUUGGUCAUGUUGCCGAGGGUGUGUGAGCGUGAUUGUGAGAGAGAGGAACCCUCUCUAGGUGAUGGUGUAGCAGCACAGAAUGGUUUGUGGUGAUACAGAGAUACAGGCCGUGAUGUGCUGCAGCAUCAAUUCCUGGGACCUACGCAGCCGAUGGAGAGAUUGCAAGUGUGUGAAUGCGUGUGCGUGUGUUGUCUUGCUUUAGCAGCAUGUAAAUAUUGGAGUUACUCCUUGGCCAAUGCCUCCAAUAUUGCUCGUGCUGCUGAAGCAAGAAGCCACCAAGCAGCGUAUGCACGUCAUCUUUUUAUCACAUCUACCGGGGCCUAGCCGGUGCAGGUAUGGCUGUCUCGCAGGUACAGAAAUAGGUACCUUCAUGGACUGAAUCAUUAAUCCGACUUAGAGAAGUCAGGAUGAUACUUGGCUUCACCGGACUGAACUGAAUGGUCAAAGGUAAAGACAGAUGCAGAGUUUAGUUUUCUUUGGAAAGUGAGUUAAGUAGUGUUUUUUUUUUUUUUUUUUUUUUUUUCCCAAUGUUGCUUUUUUCUCCUUUAUAUUGUUCAUACAAAAACUUUUUUUAAUGUUUACAUUUUGUUUUCCUUUAUGUAAAAUAUGUAUCCUUUUUUGUUUCUUCAUUAAAUAUUCCAAUUUUAUUUUCCUAAACGUGGUUGCAUUUUUUUUUUGUGUGUUACUGCAAACAUUAACAUUUUAAAAAGGGGGAAAAAAAAACCUGUGAAUACUAGUUUUGACUAGUUAGGGCACCGUUUGUCAAUGUAUCUGUUCAGGUUUUGUUUUUAACAAUUUUGCAUAGGGAACAACUGUUAAAUGAGAUUUUUCUUUCUUUCUUUUUUUUUUUUUUUUUGGUCGCUUCAAAACUGUUGUAAACAUGUGUUUUGUUUAUGGUGGAUGAACCCUAGCGUGACGUGUAUUCAUGUUUCUUUUAAAGUAUUCAUUUCCGGUAACUACAUUAAGCUAACAAAAUUGAAUCCAAUAGCCAAUAGUUUUUUUCCGAUAAUAACCAAUAAGCAAGUUUUUUUGUGUGUGGAUUAUUCUGAUAGUUGCGAUGUGCGAGUCUGCGAGAUAUUAACAUGGAGGCAAAUGUCUAGUUUCGUGCUGGAGAGUUUACGCAUGCGUAGCCCAUCAUUCUUAUAUAACAUUGAUAUUAAAAGCUUAAAGCCGAACGGAAUUUUGUUGUGGGCAAGUCAUAUUUCAGUUUUGAAAAUGACGUGCGUAUUUCGUGAUGUUAACAGGCUACAGGUCGUUGAUGUAACCAUACGUGACUGUGCCUAUGGGCUAUAAAAUAAUACAAAAUGUUUGUGAUUUUUGUCAAAUAUAUAAAGGCCUGUCACAAUGAAAGAAAUAAGAAUGUGAAAAGCAUUAUCUCGCAAAGUAAGUCUCAAAAUGCCAUGUCAAUAAUCUCCGUCAUUUUAUGAAAUGAAAUAUAGCCUAUAGGCCUAGGCCUAUAUAUAUAUAUAUAUAUAUAUAUAUAUAUAUAUAUAUUACAAAAAAAGCAGGCUAAAUUAUGUAACCACGAUUUCAUCUUUUACCUGCCAUAUCUUUGUAUUUUGGUUGAUGAUCAUUUAUUUACUAAUUAUUUUGCCUGGGUGAAAGUAGGCUAUACCUUUUGGGAGAUUUAUAAGGGAUCCUUUUACGCAGCAAUGCGUCUUUUUUGAUGUCAGAAUGCUGCGUUUUCCUCUGAUUUUAUCACAUCUUGUAUCCUUGACAAUAAAGAAAUUACGUUUUAUUUUA